AUCACUUUGAGUAGCGAGGACAUUUUAACAAUAUUAAUUCUUCCAAUCCAUGAACACGGGAUAUCUUUCCCUUUGUCUUCUCAGUUUCUUUCAUCAGUGUCUGACUCAAGCCAUGUGCUGGGAAACUCAAGGCCAAGAAGAGGUACGGGGCUCUAAUCUCACACACGGCCACCGGGAGGCGACAGACACGGGCCAAUACGCGGCCCUAGUGAAGGCGGAGGCCCCUGGGCUCUGGCCUCUUCCCCGCCCCCAAGGGCAGCCCCUCUUCUGCUCCUGGACCACGCAGACACUUUUCCUUCGAUUUCGGGCGUGUUCCGGCCCAGGCGGCAGUGGCAGGGGACUGGGCGCCCGAAGGGCCGCCCCUCAGGGGAGCCCCGCACCCAGGUCACGCCCUCGGAGCUCAGCCCACAGCUCCGCACGUGACCCCCGCCCAGAGUCCUUACCCGGCAGCCUCUGCGGCCGGAAGUUGUCUUCCCCGCCGCCUUCCCGGCAUCCCUCGCGCAGUGACCACACUUCCGCUGGUCGGGGAUCCGGAGCGAGUCUGGGCAUUAAUCGGCUGGAGCUAAUUACUCAGCGGCAGUUAGCUUGUGUUUUCCCCGAUCCUCGGGCCGCCUGCGUUGGUGCGGAGGGACGAGGGACAAGCGCCGCCUUCUGAGUCACCCUGAGGCGGCAGCGCGGGGGGAGUGUAGCCCGCCCCCCCCCCCCCCCCGCCACCCCGGAGAUCUUCUCCAGCGCCGCAUCCAGCCUGCUUGCUCGGCCCGCCGGGUGGGUCCUCAUCCCCGUGUCGAGUGCUGGCUCCCUGAAGAUGCCAUCAAAACAACCUGUCGCCAAGACAAAACUGAGUUUGUCGCGCCCCUUGUUCGAGGAGAGCACUCUCUUGAGAGAGUUCCUAGUCGAGUGGAGAUGGGAGGACAACGUUGGGGUAUUGAGGUUUUGGGGGUCUGAUUUAAGGUGGGUUUUUUGAUGCGGGAUUUAAUUAGGAUUGGGUAAGGAUUAUGUUGUAUACAGGCCUACCUUGGGGAUAUUGCGGGUUCGGUUCCAGACCACUGCAAUAAAGCGAAUAUCGCACUAAA